rnacentral:lncRNA from 1 species
CAGCUUUUGCAUGCCUGGAGCUUCUCUGUGCUUUGGCUUCUGACGGUCCACACCUGUGACUCUUUUAAGACAUCAUUUUUUUGGCUACUGGAGCUUCUUUGCCCUGACAUGUGGAGCCAGAAGUACCUGGGGUUACGUUUCCCAGGGUGAGGGUUGGGGGCUUAGUCAAUAACUGCCUGGUGCUGGCGUGUGAAAACCAAGCUUCCUUGCCUCCAGUUGAAACAAACUGAGUUAUAAUUUAUACUUUGGAGCUCCCCUGAAGGAUCAUGCUGAAGCUGGGAGUUGGCUUGGAAUAGCAUCCUUGUUUGGCUUCUUCCCCUUCCCUGGCCUGCUUCUCACACUCCCUUCCUGGUUUCUCCAAGGAGCAUGAAAGACAGAAACUAAGACAGCAUUCAGUUUCAUUUUCAGGCUUUUGAAAUGAAGAUGUUGGGAUUCAAAAUUGGACAAUGUUGUCAGCAGGGAGACGCCUGGAAGCAGAAGAAUAUUUAUGGCUUUCUUGGAGUUGGACACAUCCGUGUGACUCAGGUUCAUCAAUGAGCUAUAAGCAGAAGUGAUGUGUGCCUCUUUCAGGCGUGGGUAAUGAAGCCCUCCCACAGGCAAUCCUUCACUCCUCAUCUGAAUGGAAUGAACUAUGCUAGAGCAUAGAGAAGUCACAGGAUGGAAGGCCAGAUCCUUGUGUUGCCCUUUGAGAGGCUCUGCCAGGAGAUCCAUUCAACCCAAACAUCUAUGAUGGACGUUUGCAUGAAUAAAAAAUGAACUUUCAUUGUGUUAAAACACUAAAAUUAGGGGUUGUUUGCUAUAGCAGUUAGCCUACCUUGAACACUACACUCACAUAAAGCAAACCCAAGUGGAGCAGUCCAGGCCUAGUAUGGUGGUCUGCAGGGUUAUCAGAAAUCUGAGCUUUUAUCUCCUGCCUCACCAUCCUUAACAAAUAUGGUGGAGCUUGAUACUGUCUGCUGUGCUCAGUCUCUGGACCCUGUGAGAAAUUGAAUGUGUGGGUCUCCAAGUGAUCAUCUUUUCCAUGGUUACAAUAUGUUACAUGUCUGAUGCCUAUUUGUUAUCAAAUAACCUGUGAACAAUAUGGCAAGAUGAUGCUCAUAGGACAGUAAGUGUAGCUGAGUCUCAUACAUAGUCUCAAAAAACUGUAUAGGGUUUCCCAAAGCUCCAGAGCAAUUCAUCUGCCCACCCCCUCAUAUUAUAGGAGCCCCUCUCUUGCCUUCUCUUCCCAGAAGGCUGCUGGUUUAACACCAGGGAAUUAUGGUCUGUGUGUAUCAAGGGUUUAGUGUUCCCUGCCUUAGGUCACGCUCCUGCUUGAGGUUGACCCGCAGUAUUGUGGUUCUCCUGGCUCCUGGCAUGUAGUCCUGAUUCCUUACUCUCCAUGAUGGGCAUAAACUGAGCCCUCUGGGAAGAUGCUAACUUUCUGCUCGUAGUGGUUAUGGCAGAGGUUGUUGAGAUGUUUACCAAACCCAUCUCCUCUUCUUCUUGGGCACACAGCAAGACCACAUUUCCCAGCUUCCCUUACAGUCAAGUGUGGCCAAGUGCCUUAGUUCUGGUCCAUGGAUUGUGGGUAGAAGUAAUGUGCACCACUUUCAUCCCUGGCCCAUAGGGAUAUCUGUCGGCUUUCUAGUAAAUGUAGACAGAUUUGUAACGCCU